GCAUCGCUCACUCUCCCCACGACCUCCAUCAGCACCCUGCCAGCCACCUCCCCGCGCCGCACUUCCCUCCCCACCUCCCUCCCCGCACCGCCCCACCUCCCUUCCCACCUUCUCCGGCGCGGUGCGCCCCUCCCCUCCCCACUUUCUCCGGCGGCACCGCCCACCAACACCUCUAACCACGGCGUCCCACCAGCACCUCUAACCUCCCUCCCCACACCACCCCUCCCCUCCCCACCUUCUCCAGUGGGUCAUGGCAGGAUCCAGCCGCCCACGGCCGCUGGCGCGGCCUCAGCCACCAGAUCCGGCCGCCACGGCCAUCGGUGCAGACACAAACGACGGAUUCAGCCACUGCCGACCCCUAGUGCGGCAGCCCCCCACUGUCCCUUCCUCCCCGUUAUUCCAUCUUGAGGAGAGAACUCUGGGCACGGAUCCGGUCCCCACGAGCUGCAGCCCCGACCAGUUCGCCCUGCCGGCUGCUCCGUCGAGCCGGUGGUGGAUCCAAGCUCAUAUGCGCACAUGCAGUCCAUUGGGUCAGUGCAUGCAGCACGCCGGUGCCAUUCCCUGCAGUCUACUCCGUCGAGCCGGCAGCGGAAACAAGCUCAUUUGUGCGCGUGCAGUUCGUCAACGCCCUGUGCGGUUCGCCUGUGGAUGCCGAACGGAGCAGGCGUGCAGUGCAGACGACCUUCUCCUCCAUCAAGGAGGCUGCGACCGGUGACCCCCCAGAUCUGCCAACCCCACAAGUGGUCUGCCGGCCUCACCACUCAUUGCAAAAGACCCCCUUCCCCUCCAUUUCUGCUACCCGACAGCAAGCCGAUGACCUUCUGCUCUUCCUGGCAAGUUACCUCCCGUUCAACACCUCCCUCCUUGCAGUGCGUUUGCUCGCAUGCACGGUUCAGUAGGACCGGCUUUGCAGACCAGCCGUGGACGGCCUGUAUUAUGCAACUGCGUGCAGUCCACUAUAGAUCAUCACGCGUGCAUAGCUCGCCCGAGCUGCAAAUUUUGAUUUGUUUGUGCAGGAUGGCCGAGUUGAAGUGCGUGAGUGGACGUCUUGCAGUUCUCGUAGUUCUCUAGUUCUUGUAUUUCUCUAAUGCAUUACUGAAAAAACCAAGUGAAGAUUUCUUGUGUGGUGUGUGUUGUGUAAAAAGAAAAUUGGGGUUUAGUUGAGGCCACGGCCAUGGACCGUACCAUCGCAUGGCUGCAUCCCUUGGCUAGAGUCUACGCUCUUCUCCUCGUCUCACAUGACACAUCAACGGUGAGAUCCAAAGUCCGUGAUGAUGGUGGAUAGGUGCAGCUCAGCCACAAUUCCACGAUGAAGUGUCCACCGACAGCGGCUUGCAUUUCUGACCAAGGGUCGUGAAGUACGCCAACGCUCGCCAUCUCUACUUUCUUUUUUGCGGGAGCUCGCCAUCUCUACUUCGGUGCACCAUGCAGUAGAUGCCACGUACAUGUGAGGUUCAGAUGGCCCUGGAGUGCAGCUCGGAUGGGCUGCGUGCGAUGGCCUUGGUGUGCUUUUUUUUCUGUUGUCCCUGAUUUUGUUGUUUUGAUUGGAGGAAAUUUGAUGCGUUUUGCACUGCUCUAAAUGUGCAUUCUUUCAUUGACACAAUUGCAGUACAGUGCAUAGUACGAAGGAGUUCACUUUGUAAAAAAAAAUGUAUAGAGGAGUUUACUUUUUAUUAUUUUUGGAGGAUUUUUUUUGAAAA